rnacentral:rRNA from 1 species
CGCGUAGGCGGUUUGUUUAGUUAGGCGUGAAAUUCCUGGGCUUAACCUGGGGACUGCGCUUAAUACAGGCAGACUUGAGUCCGGAAGAGGGUCGUGGAAUUCCCAGUGUAGAGGUGAAAUUCGUAGAUAUUGGGAGGAACACCGGUGGCGAAGGCGGCGACCUGGUCCGAUACUGACGCUGAGGCGCGAAAGCGUGGGGAGCAAACA